UGAAAACACCCAAGGUGCCUGGAAAGCCGGUCAUUUCCCCUGCAUCAGGAGACUAACCAAAUGUGGAGAGGCCGUCUCCUGGUUUACGAGAAAUCCUAGCAAGGAGAGCCACCCAGAACCAGGCUGGACCUACUCUUCCGACAGCUCAUGAAGAAUUUUGGAGCCCUGGAGUAUUAGGAGCUGUAUUGCCCAGACACAGAAGCUAGAUCUGAAGGGAUGUCUAAAAGAAGAAUGAACAAGCUGACCUUAAAGAGAAAGCCGGGUGGCAUGGCAGAAGCUGCAUCUUCUGAUGAAACAUGCUGAU